UACGUAGGGUGCGAGCGUUGUCCGGAAUCAUUGGGCGUAAAGGGCGCGUAGGUGGCUUCUUAAGCGUGCGGUGAAAGCCUGGGGCUCAACCCCGGGUCGGCCGUGCGAACUGGGGGGCUGGAGCACUGUAGAGGCAGGCGGAAUUCCGGGUGUAGCGGUGGAAUGCGUAGAUAUCGGGAGGAACACCAGUGGCGAAGGCGGUUGCCUGGGGCUUUGCUGACGCUGAUGCGCGAAAGCGUGGGGAGCAAACAGG
rnacentral:rRNA from 1 species